UACGUAGGUGGCUAGCGUUAUCCGGAUUUACUGGGCGUAAAGCGCGUGCAGGCGGUUUCGUAAGUCGGACGUGAAAGCUCCUGGCUUAACUGGGAGAGGUCGUUCGAUACUGCGGGGCUUGAGGUCGGGAGAGGGACGUGGAAUUCCCGGUGUAGUGGUGGAAUGCGUAGAUAUCGGGAGGAACACCAGUGGCGAAGGCGGCGUCCUGGCCCGCACCUGACGCUGAGACGCGAAAGCGUGGGUAGCGAACGGGAUUAGAUACCCCGGUAGUCCACGCCGUAAACGGUGGAUACUAGGUGUUGGCGGCUAUCGUCGUCAGUGCCGUAGCUAACGCGUUAAGUAUCCCGCCUGGGGACUACGGCCGCAAGGCUAAA
rnacentral:rRNA from 1 species